AUUUUGCUUCUUCGUUCACUUCGUUGUCGGACGCCAUAAUCAACGCUUCGUUUCGCAGAAGAGUGGGAAGUAAAUCGAACUUUUUAGCGAAAAAUCUUGUCUUUAAUAAUUACGGCUUGAAACAUUUGAGCGGACGAUGGCAGGAGCCGAAUCGCCUAAAUUAAAACAGGAAUCGCAGAAUGCAUCUACAGAGAAUAGUAAUGAAAAUCCACGAGAACGGAAUCCUCCUGGUGGCGGCAACCGUGGUCCUCGUGGGCGAAAAGGAGGGACACGUUUUUCUGGCGGACGUGGUGGCGGAAUGGGCGGAGGAAACAGAAAUAACGAUGGACCGAUGAAAAUGAAUGAUCCUAUGGAUGGUGGUAUGGACAAUACCAUGAAUGAAGGAAUAGGCGGAGGUAUGGGUGGAGGUAUGGGUAUUGGACGUGGCGGUGGAAUGCGUGGUGGUAGAGGUGGCCGCGGAGGGGGUGAUAGAAACAUGGGAAAUCGAUCACAAGAUGAUCGUUUAAUGGAACGGAUUAUGGCUAUUAGUGGUCCUACGCAUGAUCUACCACCCCCAGAAACCACUGAAAAGAAAUUCAGUGGUCGUAAUCGUCUGUAUAUUGGAAACUUGUCAAAUGACGUUACAGAAGAGGAAAUUCAACAGAUCUUUCAACAAUAUGGUGAAAUAUCCGAACUUUUUGUAAAUAAAGAGAAAAACUUUGCAUUUCUUAGGAUGGAUUAUAGGGUAAAUGCCGAGAAGGCAAAACAUGAGUUAGAUGGAAAAAAUGUAUUCACAAAUAGUAAAGGACGCGCACUUAAAGUUCGUUUUGCUCCACAUUCUUCGACAGUUAAAGUUAAAAAUCUUACACCUUGGAUUACGAAUGAAUUGCUUGAGAGGGCAUUCAGUGUUUUUGGUGAAAUUGAACGGGCGAUAGUUAUAGCGGAUGACAAGGGAAAAUCUACUGGAGAGGGAAUUGUAGAAUUCUGCAGAAAACCGUCAGCCCAACUUGCUUUACGAAAGUGCACAGAAGGAUGCUACUUUUUAACCGCGUCUCUACGUCCUGUAGUUGUUAAACCAUUUGAAUUACUAGAUGACAUUGAUGGUUAUUCAGACAAAAAUCUACCUCGGAAAAAUCAGGAAUUUUUUACAGCUCGCGAUAUUGGUCCAAGGUUUGCAAAGAUAGGAAGUUUUGAAUAUGAAUAUGGAACGAGGUGGAAACAGCUGCACGAAUUAUAUGAGCAGAAAGAAGAAGCACUAAAAAGAGAAAUGGCAAUGGAGGAAGAAAAAUUGGAAGCUCAAAUGGAAUUUGCACGAUAUGAACACGAAACUGAAUUGUUGAGAGAACAAUUGCGUAUGCGCGAGGCCGAUCGUGAGAGACAAAAGCGAGAAUGGGAAAUGAAAGAAAGACAGGCUGAAGAACAAAGAACGCGUGAAGAAGAACUACGAAGGAGACAACAGGAAGAAAUGGCAAUGCGUAUUAGAAGACAAGAAGAGGAGCUACAUCGUCGUCAACAAGAAAAUAAUUUAUUCAUGCAGGAGCAAACAAUGAGAGGAGGUGGAGGAGGCGGGAUGGGAGGAAAAAAUUAUGAUUCCGUUGGUAAUAAUGACCGCGAUGGAUAUGGACAGCCAGAUGGUGGAAGCAGCAUGCCAGUGGAUCCAAAGUCUUUUAUGGAUGCUUAUAAUAGUAUGGAUCGUGGUAGUCGUGGGGGUUACAAUGACGAUCGUAGUCAAAUAAUGGAUUUGAUGGAUAUGAGGGUCGAUAUGGGUAAUAUGGGUGGUGGUCGUGGAGGUAGUGGUGGUAGUGGACGUUGGCAAGGUGGAAGUGAUCGUAAUCGUCAGGAUGACUAUCCUAAUAAAAGAAGACGCUAUUAAAGAUGUUGCGAUACUAAUAGCAGUUGCUAGCUGAGGGAAUGAAUAAAACGUAUUGAGAAGUGAAAAGAUUUGCACACUUCACAUUUAAUUGCAUCUAUUUCACCAUCCCGUAUGUAUUCAACAUACAAACGCAAAAUGUGUGCAAAAGAAUGCGUGCAGAAUCAUAAGGAGGAAAAUAUACAAACGUGUCGAAAUUUACGUGUCAGAAUUAAUAACGCUAAUCAUAUUACGAAAGUUUCGAAGGAUUAUGAUUAUAUCAAAUGUCGGAUCAUUGUACAGUUUUGAUUUAACUAAUCAUCCCUUUAAAUAUUUCUUCGUACUUAAUGGACUAGAUGAAGCAAAAAAUUAAUUUUGUACGCUAUACGCACACAGCAAGUCAUCGUUUUGGAAUAGGAGUAUUUAAGGACGUUAGAAGCUGCUAUGAGAGGUGGAAUUGUUUUGACGAUAUAUCAUACUUUAAAAGUGUUUGACUCAAAAUACCAAAAUUAUCAAUAUCGUUGGGUCCUAAAAUACAAUUUGAAAUUUCCGAGCUUUUUCCGUUCAUGUGACCGGCUAGCAGCCUUUUUUGUUGAGAGCGUUCGGAUUGUAAAAGAUGUGUGACCUACAAUCAGUGGACGUUCGUUACUUAUAAUAUGGAUCAAGAGACUUUGAACAUGUUCAGAAGCUUUAUUUUAAAUUUAACUUUAAACAAAGCUUAAUUCAUUCUCCAUUUUUUAUACGAUAUUAAUUACUGUAUACUCAGAAUAAGUAAUGGCUAAAAUUUCUAUGUUACUUUAAUAAAAUAUAUAUAUACAUAUAAUUUAUUGUUAAAACUUUAAUUUCGUUUGUAACAUCCAUUUGUGUAGUAUCACCACAUCACUCAUAAAUAUAAUGCACCCUCGCUUACGACGGAAGUAUUAACUAAACAUGAAAUUAAAAUUUUAUAUACAAUA